UACGACCACAUCAUGUCGAAACACCGCUUCCCGUACGAUCACCGAAGCUAAGCAACGUCGAGCCUGGUCAGUAUCUUGACGGGUGAAUACCAGGUGCUGUAA